rnacentral:rRNA from 1 species
GACGAACGCUGGCGGCGUGCUUAACACAUGCAAGUCGAACGGAAAGGCCCUGCUUUUGUGGGGUGCUCGAGUGGCGAACGGGUGAGUAACACGUGAGUAACCUGCCCUUGACUUUGGGAUAACUUCAGGAAACUGGGGCUAAUACCGGAUAGGAGCUCCUGCUGCAUGGUGGGGGUUGGAAAGUUUCGGCGGUUGGGGAUGGACUCGCGGCUUAUCAGCUUGUUGGUGGGGUAGUGGCUUACCAAGGCUUUGACGGGUAGCCGGCCUGAGAGGGUGACCGGCCACAAUGGGACUGAGAUACGGCCCAGACUCCUACGUGAGGCAGCAGUGGGGAAUAUUGCACAAUGGGCGGAAGCCUGAUGCAGCAACGCCGCGUGCGGGAUGACGGCCUUCGGGUUGUAAACCGCUUUCGCCUGUGACGAAGCGUGAGUGACGGUAAUGGGUAAAGAAGCACCGGCUAACUACGUG